rnacentral:rRNA from 1 species
GGAAUGUUGGCUUCGGCUGACUAGUACCGUGGCGAACGGGUGAGUAACACGUGGGUAAUCUGCCCUUGAGUUCGGGAUAACCUUGCGAAAGCGCUGCUAAUACCGGAUAAGACCACAUGACCCAGGUCGUGCGGUAAAAGGUGGCUUUAUUUUCGGAUGAGGCUAUCACUUGAGGAUGAGCCCAUGGCCUAUCAGCUUGUUGGUGAGGUAAAAGCUUACCAAGGCUAUGACGGGUAGCUGGUCUAGGAGGACGACCAGCCACACUGGGACUGAGACACGGCCCAGACUCCUACGGGAGGCAGCAGUGGGGAAUAUUGGGCAAUGGGCGAAAGCCUGACCCAGCGACGCCGUGUGGGCGAUGAAGGCCUUCGGGUUGUAAAGCCCCGUGAGGUGGAAAGAAGGGUCCAGAGGUUAAUACCCUUUGGACUUUGACGGUACCACCAGAGGAAGCACCGGCUAACUCCGUGCCAGCAGCCGCGGUAAUACGGAGGGUGCAAGCGUUGUUCGGAAUUACUGGGCGUAAAGGGCGCGUAGGUGGUUGUGUAAGUCAGAUGUGAAAUCCUUAGGCUUAACCUGAGAACUGCAUCUGAUACUGCAUGACUCGAGUACAGCAGAGGGAAACGGAAUUCCUGGUGUAGAGGUGAAA